rnacentral:rRNA from 1 species
GAUAAACGCUGGCGGCGCACAUAAGACAUGCAAGUCGAACGGAAGUCGUUGUAAUGAUAUAGACAUGGACUGAGAACUUGUUCAAAGAAAGUGAAAGUUGACUUACAACAAUGGCUUUAGUGGCGGACUGGUGAGUAACACGUAAGCGACCUGCCUAUCAGAGGGGAACAACAGUUAGAAAUGACUGCUAAUACCGCAUAUGCCUAAGUAUCACAUGAUACAAUAGGGAAAGGAGCAAUCUGCUGAUAGAUGGGCUUGCGUCUGAUUAGAUAGUUGGUGGGGUAACGGCCUACCAAGUCGACGAUCAGUAGCCGGACUGAGAGGUUGAACGGCCCCAUUGGGACUGAGAUACGGCCCAGACUCCUACGGGAGGCAGCAGUCGGGAAUAUUGCGCAAUGGAGGAAACUCUGACGCAGUGACGCCGCGUGCAGGAAGAAGGUUUUCGGAUUGUAAACUGCUUU